rnacentral:rRNA from 1 species
GUUUGAUCCUGGCUCAGGAUGAACGCUAAUAGUAUGCUUUACACAUGCGAGUCGAACGAAAAUUAGUAAAAUAAUUUUAGUGGCGAACGGGUGAGGAAAACGUAAAAUAUUACCUUUUAGAUUAGAUAAGCGUAAAAAUUACUUAAAACUUAUAGUUUUGAGUAAAUAAUAGCCAAUUCUUUAUAAUUAUAAAAAGACAGUUUAAUUAUUGUCUGCUGAAAGAUGUCUUUGCGUAAGAUUAGGUUGUUGGUAGUGUUCUUAGCCUACCAAGCCGACGAUCUUUAGUUGGUCUUAGAGGACGAUCAACCACACUGGAACUGAGACAAGGUCCAGGCUAAUAAUUUUGGCCAGCAGUGAGGAAUAUUGGACAAUGAACGAAAGUUUGAUCCAGCAAUACUAUGUGAAUGAAUGACGGCUAAUUUUGGUUGUAAAGUUCUUUCAAUAAAAAAUGAUAAUGACAUUAUUUAUUCGAAUUUUAGUCCCGGCUAAUCUCGUGCCAGCAGCCGCGGUAAAACGGGAGGGGCAAGCGUUAUCCGGAAUUACUGGGCGUAAAGGGUCCGUAGACUGUAUUAUAAGUUAUUUGUUAAAAAUUAAAGCUCAACUUUAAUAAAGCAUUUAAAACUGUUAUACUAGAGUUUUAAUCAGAAGAGUAGAAUUUCAUGUUGAGGAGUGGCAUCUAAAGAUUCAUGAAGGAAUACCGUUAGCGAAGGCGACUCUUUAGUAAAAACUGACGUUGAGGGACGAAAGUAUAGGUAGCAAACAGGAUUAGAUACCCUGGUAGUCUAUACUG